rnacentral:rRNA from 1 species
UAAGCAGAUAGUGAAAUUUCAAGGCUCAACCUUGAAACUGUUAUCUGAACUGAAAGACUAGAGCAUGUUAGAGGUAGCUGGAAUUCCUAGUGUAGGAGUGAAAUCCGUAGAUAUUAGGAGGAACACCAAUGGCGUAGGCAGGCUACUGGGACAUUGCUGACACUGAGGCACGAAAGCGUGGGGAGCGAACCGGAUUAGAUACCCGGGUAGUCCACGCCGUAAACGAUGAAUGUUA